rnacentral:rRNA from 1 species
UACGUAGGGUGCAAGCGUUAUCCGGAAUUAUUGGGCGUAAAGAGCUCGUAGGCGGUUUGUCACGUCUGCUGUGAAAACUGGAGGCUCAACCUCCAGCCUGCAGUGGGUACGGGCAGACUAGAGUGCGGUAGGGGAGAUUGGAAUUCCUGGUGUAGCGGUGGAAUGCGCAGAUAUCAGGAGGAACACCGAUGGCGAAGGCAGGUCACUGGGCCGCAACUGACGCUGAGGAGCGAAAGCAUGGGGAGCGAACAGG